rnacentral:rRNA from 1 species
ACACAUGCAAGUCGAACGAGAGAUGAAGAGCUUGCUCUUCAAAUCGAGUGGCGAACGGGUGAGUAACGCGUGAGGAACCUGCCUCAAAGAGGGGGACAACAGUUGGAAACGACUGCUAAUACCGCAUAAGCCCACGGCUCGGCAUCGAGCAGAGGGAAAAGGAGCAAUCCGCUUUGAGAUGGCCUCGCGUCCGAUUAGCUAGUUGGUGAGGUAAUGGCCCACCAAGGCGACGAUCGGUAGCCGGACUGAGAGGUUGAACGGCCACAUUGGGACUGAGACACGGCCCAGACUCCUACGGGAGGCAGCAGUGGGGAAUAUUGCACAAUGGGGGAAACCCUGAUGCAGCGACGCCGCGUGGAGGAAGAAGGUCUUCGGAUUGUAAACUCCUGUUGUUGAGGAAGAUAAUGACGGUACUCAACAAGGAAGUGACGGCUAACUACGUGCCAGCAGCCGCGGUAAAACGUAGGUCACAAGCGUUGUCCGGAAUUACUGGGUGUAAAGGGAGCGCAGGCGGGAGAACAAGUUGGAAGUGAAAUCCAUGGGCUCAACCCAUGAACUGCUUUCAAAACUGUUUUUCUUGAGUAGUGCAGAGGUAGGCGGAAUUCCCGGUGUAGCGGUGGAAUGCGUAGAUAUCGGGAGGAACACCAGUGGCGAAGGCGGCCUACUGGGCACCAACUGACGCUGAGGCUCGAAAGUGUGGGUAGCAAACAGGAUUAGAUACCCUGGUAGUCCACACCGUAAACGAUGAUUACUAGGUGUUGGAGGAUUGACCCCUUCAGUGCCGCAGUUAACACAAUAAGUAAUCCACCUGGGGAGUACGACCGCAAGGUUGAAACUCAAAGGAA